rnacentral:rRNA from 1 species
GGUUAAGCGACUAAGCGUACACGGUGGAUGCCCUGGCAGUCAGAGGCGAUGAAGGACGUGCUAAUCUGCGAUAAGCGUCGGUAAGGUGAUAUGAACCGUUAUAACCGGCGAUUUCCGAAUGGGGAAACCCAGUGUGAUUCGUCACACUAUCAUUACGUGAAUACAUAGCGUAAUGAAGCGAACCGGGGGAACUGAAACAUCUAAGUACCCCGAGGAAAAGAAAUCAACCGAGAUUCCCCCAGUAGCGGCGAGCGAACGGGGAGCAGCCCAGAGUCUGAAUCAGCUUGUGUGUUAGUGGAACGGUCUGGAAAGUCCGACGGUACAGGGUGAUAGUCCCGUACACCAAAAUGCACAGGUUGUGAACUCGAAGAGUAGGGCGGGACACGUGGUAUCCUGUCUGAAUAUGGGGGGACCAUCCUCCAAGGCUAAAUACUCCUGACUGACCGAUAGUGAACCAGUACCGUGAGGGAAAGGCGAAAAGAACCCCGGCGAGGGGAGUGAAAAAGAACCUGAAACCGUGUACGUACAAGCAGUGGGAGCCUCUUUAUGGGGUGACUGCGUACCUUUUGUAUAAUGGGUCAGCGACUUAUAUUCUGUAGCAAGGUUAACCGUAUAGGGGAGCCGAAGGGAAACCGAGUCUUAACUGGGCGUUAAGUUGCAGGGUAUAGACCCGAAACCCGGUGAUCUAGCCAUGGGCAGGUUGAAGGUUGGGUAACACUAACUGGAGGACCGAACCGACUAAUGUUGAAAAAUUAGCGGAUGACUUGUGGCUGGGGGUGAAAGGCCAAUCAAACCGGGAGAUAGCUGGUUCUCCCCGAAAGCUAUUUAGGUAGCGCCUCGUGAACUCAUCUUCGGGGGUAGAGCACUGUUUCGGCUAGGGGGUCAUCCCGACUUACCAACCCGAUGCAAACUGCGAAUACCGAAGAAUGUUAUCACGGGAGACACACGGCGGGUGCUAACGUCCGUCGUGAAGAGGGAAACAACCCAGACCGCCAGCUAAGGUCCCAAAGUCAUGGUUAAGUGGGAAACGAUGUGGGAAGGCACAGACAGCCAGGAUGUUGGCUUAGAAGCAGCCAUCAUUUAAAGAAAGCGUAAUAGCUCACUGGUCGAGUCGGCCUGCGCGGAAGAUGUAACGGGGCUAAACCAUGCACCGAAGCUGCGGCAGCGACACUAUGUGUUGUUGGGUAGGGGAGCGUUCUGUAAGCCGUUGAAGGUGGCCUGUGAGGGUUGCUGGAGGUAUCAGAAGUGCGAAUGCUGACAUAAGUAACGAUAAUGCGGGUGAAAAACCCGCACGCCGGAAGACCAAGGGUUCCUGUCCAACGUUAAUCGGGGCAGGGUGAGUCGACCCCUAAGGCGAGGCCGAAAGGCGUAGUCGAUGGGAAACAGGUUAAUAUUCCUGUACUUGGUGUUACUGCGAAGGGGGGACGGAGAAGGCUAUGUUAGCCGGGCGACGGUUGUCCCGGUUUAAGCAUGUAGGCGGAGGUUCCAGGUAAAUCCGGUACCUUUUUACGNNNNNNNNNNNNNNNNNNNNNNNNNNNNNNNNNNNNNNNNNNNNNNNNNNNNNNNNNNNNNNNNNNNNNNNNNNNNNNNNNNNNNNNNNNNGUACCUUUUAACGCUGAGGUGUGAUGACGAGGCACUACGGUGCUGAAGUAACAAAUGCCCUGCUUCCAGGAAAAGCCUCUAAGCAUCAGGUAACACGAAAUCGUACCCCAAACCGACACAGGUGGUCAGGUAGAGAAUACCAAGGCGCUUGAGAGAACUCGGGUGAAGGAACUAGGCAAAAUGGUGCCGUAACUUCGGGAGAAGGCACGCUGAUAUGUAGGUGAAGCGGUUUACCCGUGGAGCUGAAAUCAGUCGAAGAUACCAGCUGGCUGCAACUGUUUAUUAAAAACACAGCACUGUGCAAACACGAAAGUGGACGUAUACGGUGUGACGCCUGCCCGGUGCCGGAAGGUUAAUUGAUGGGGUUAUCCGUAAGGAGAAGCUCUUGAUCGAAGCCCCGGUAAACGGCGGCCGUAACUAUAACGGUCCUAAGGUAGCGAAAUUCCUUGUCGGGUAAGUUCCGACCUGCACGAAUGGCGUAAUGAUGGCCAGGCUGUCUCCACCCGAGACUCAGUGAAAUUGAACUCGCUGUGAAGAUGCAGUGUACCCGCGGCAAGACGGAAAGACCCCGUGAACCUUUACUAUAGCUUGACACUGAACACUGGUCCUUGAUGUGUAGGAUAGGUGGGAGGCUUUGAAGUGUGGACGCCAGUCUGCAUGGAGCCAUCCUUGAAAUACCACCCUUUAAUGGCUGGUGUUCUAACGUGGACCCGUUACCCGGGUUGCGGACAGUGUCUGGUGGGUAGUUUGACUGGGGCGGUCUCCUCCUAAAGAGUAACGGAGGAGCACGAAGGUUAGCUAAUCCUGGUCGGACAUCAGGAGGUUAGUGCAAAGGCAUAAGCUAGCUUGACUGCGAGAGUGACGGCUCGAGCAGGUGCGAAAGCAGGUCUUAGUGAUCCGGUGGUUCUGAAUGGAAGGGCCAUCGCUCAACGGAUAAAAGGUACUCCGGGGAUAACAGGCUGAUACCGCCCAAGAGUUCAUAUCGACGGCGGUGUUUGGCACCUCGAUGUCGGCUCAUCACAUCCUGGGGCUGAAGUAGGUCCCAAGGGUAUGGCUGUUCGCCAUUUAAAGUGGUACGCGAGCUGGGUUUAGAACGUCGUGAGACAGUUCGGUCCCUAUCUGCCGUGGGCGCUGGAGAAUUGAGGGGGGCUGCUCCUAGUACGAGAGGACCGGAGUGGACGCAUCACUGGUGUUCGGGUUGUCAUGCCAAUGGCAUUGCCCGGUAGCUAAAUGCGGAAGAGAUAAGUGCUGAAAGCAUCUAAGCACGAAACUUGCCCCGAGAUGAGUUCUCCCUGAGACU